rnacentral:misc_RNA from 1 species
UCCAGAUCUCCAGAUCGCUACUACCGAUUGAAUGGUUUAGUGAGGACUCCUGAUUGGCGCCGCCGCCCCGGCAACGGAGCAGCGGACUGCCGAAAAGUUGUUCAAACUUGAUCAUUUAGAGGAAGUAAAAGUCGUAACAAGGUUUCCGUAGGUGAACCUGCAGAAGAUA